GACGAACGCUGGCGGCGUGCCUAAUACAUGCAAGUAGAACGCUGAAGAGAGGAGCUUGCUCUUCUUGGAUGAGUUGCGAACGGGUGAGUAACGCGUAGGUAACCUGCCUUGUAGCGGGGGAUAACUAUUGGAAACGAUAGCUAAUACCGCAUAACAAUGGAUGACACAUGUCGUUUAUUUGAAAGGGGCAAUUGCUCCACUACAAGAUGGACCUGCGUUGUUUUGGCUGGUAGGUGAGGUAACGGCUCACCUAGGCGACGAUACAUAGCCGACCUGAGCGGGGGGUCGGCCACCCUGGGAGGGAGACACGGCCCAGACGCCUGCGGGAGGCAGCAGUAGGGAAUCUUCGGCAAGGGGGGCAAACCUGACCGAGCAACGCCGCGUGAGUGGAGAAGGGGUUCGGAUCGUAAAGCUCUGUUGUAAGUCAAGAACGGGUGUGGGAGUGGAAAGUUCACACUGUGACGGUAGCUGACCAGAAAGGGACGGCUAACUACGUG
rnacentral:rRNA from 1 species